rnacentral:rRNA from 1 species
GAGCGUUGUCCGGAAUUAUUGGGCGUAAAGAGCUUGUAGGCGGUUUGUCGCGUCUGCUGUGAAAAUCCGGGGCUCAACCCCGGACUUGCAGUGGAUACGGGCAGACUAGAGUGUGGUAGGGGAGACUGGAAUUCCUGGUGUAGCGGUGAAAUGCGCAGAUAUCAGGAGGAACACCGAUGGCGAAGGCAGGUCUCUGGGCCACUACUGACGCUGAGGAGCGAAAGCGUGGGGAGCGAACAGG